CGAGAGCAUUCGCUGUAAAGGACCGCAUAGUGGCUUCUCGACGAGCGUUACAGGUUAUGUCACGUAAUACACGCCCGCGAUGACUUAUCGGUUGAGGCUCGAGGUCGCAACGUCGAACGAGAAUAGGUCAAACACGAACAAUAUGAAUAUUAGAGGAAUCAUUUACGUUAACGAGCACGUAUAACAUAAUAUUCUUUUAACUAACGAAACUACGAUCUGAUAUCUAUUAACGGUGUGAAACUUCUUAGAGAAACAUAUUGUGUACAUUAUAAAUAAAUUGGAGACUAGAAGACAGGUAUUGAAUUAAAAUUUUCGAUAUUUAAAAAUCUUUUCGUUCUAAAUAUGUGAAAAUUUUGAAGCUUGAAUGUAGGAAAAUAAAUAGUUACGAUUUUACCUGAGCGAAUUAUCUUGAAUUUAUUUUUAUUUCAAACGUAUGCACCUUAUAUUUCAAAAUAAAAAUAGACUCAAAUUUUGGAUGAACUGUAAAUAAUUAUAGCAAUAAUCUUACAUAAUUUUAAUCGAUAUAUUAAUUUAUUAAAAAUAUGGAUUCUAUUUUUGUCGGUUAAAUUAGCAUCUUUUAAAUAUAUUAUGUUGACUUAUAACCUUUCGAUUGGUCAUUUCAAGUUAGCUAAAGAUUUCUUGGAAGAGCAUCAGCGAAGAAGAAUAGUCAUUGGAGAGUAAUUAUUUCUAUCUAUACGACCGGACUUCACAGGUAAAGGUCGCUUGUGGGUCCGAAGGUUACCUCCUACCUACUUGAUCACCGUAUCGACACAGAUUUAUCUUGUAAUCCCACUUGCUGCGUUAAAAUUGCACUACUAAUCGCGUAUUAUUCUUUCCUCUUUUGUUUAUCAUAAUCAAUUUUUUUAUUAUUAUCUGCGAAUCUAUAAUGACGUAAAUUCUUAACUUAUAAAAGAUAGACAAACUUAUUAUUUUCUUAUAAUUUUUAGGUAUUUUCAUUAUUUUUCAGUUUCGUAAUGUAUGAGGAUAUGAGAAAAGAAUUUAAAAGUUAUUUCCUUUACAAAAACAUAUUUUACAUUGCAACGUUUGAAUUAGUUGUACAAUAAAUAUAACAUGCUAAAUUGAACAUUUUUGAAUGUAAAAAAAAAUAAUGGAAAAAGUAAUGUUAUUAUCAACAGAGUUACGAGAUUUCAUAAUGACAUUGUCAAAAUAUACAAUCACUAUGUUAUUCAUAAGGAAGAAUAGUAUUUUAUUUAUUAACAAUCUAAUUGCAGAGAAACCUGCAAAUAUGUAUUUUACAGUAUUUAAUUUUAUGAAGGAACGUGCACAGAUUGAUUCGAUGUGGGCGAGUCAACGUUUCGGAUUUCAUGCAUCGUUAUCGACGAAAGGAUAACACAAAGCUAAAUACUAAAAAUUCAUAGCAACAGCUAGACUUCGUCAACCAUCCGUGGGUUAGAGUUCAUAACCUCUUCUAACCUUUACCUUUCCUUUGCCUCCUUCCCCCCCGUGCCUAACCCCACCGCUCACCUUUAUAGCCACUCGACAAUACAU